GCCCGCAUAGCACAGUGGCAGUGCGUUCCUCUCGUAGCAACGACCUUGAAGCUCUUCGGCGACAAGGUCUCAGCUCUGCAAGGAAAGGUCAGUGGUUCAAUCCCGCUUGGGGGCA
rnacentral:tRNA from 1 species